GACGAACGCUGGCGGCGUGCUUAACACAUGCAAGUCGAACGGUGAAGCUCCAGCUUGCUGGAGUGGAUCAGUGGCGAACGGGUGAGUAACACGUGAGCAACCUGCCCCUGACUCUGGAAUAAGCGCUGGAAACGGCGUCUAAUACUGGAUACGAGAAGGGUCCGCAUGGGCACUUUCUGGAAAGUUUUUCGGUUGGGGAUGGGCUCGCGGCCUAUCAGCUUGUUGGUGAGGUAAUGGCUCACCAAGGCGACGACGGGUAGCCGGCCUGAGAGGGCGACCGGCCACACUGGGACUGAGACACGGCCCAGACUCCUACGGGAGGCAGCAGUGGGGAAUAUUGCACAAUGGGCGAAAGCCUGAUGCAGCGACGCCGCGUGAGGGAUGACGGCCUUCGGGUUGUAAACCUCUUUCAGCAUGGAAGAAGCGAAAGUGACGGUACCUGCAGAAGAAGCACCGGCUAACUACGU
rnacentral:rRNA from 1 species